GGAAAGUUUCUCGGGGGAGGCAAGAAAAAAAAAAAGUUUUCUCUCCUCUGCAAAAGGCGGGCAGGGCGCCCUAAGUCCAAGGACAAUCCAUGGAAGUGUUCGCUUCUUCACAAGUUGUGCAAACGAUUUGUUAGUUCAUGAGCCUAAUUAGUGCGGGGAUCACAUAAACAGCUUCCUCCGAAGCCUGGUAAAUGGCUUGAUGAUUGGUCGCUAUUACUCGCCCUGAGGUGGAAGGGGGGAGACUCUUUAAAGUGCGUCAGAGGGAGGCGAGCGCCUGGGAACCCGGAGGCCUGGAUCCCGGCCGAGAGUGGAACGGAGUCGGCGCCGCGGCCCCGGCCGAGCCUCCCCCCCGCGCCCGCCAGGCNNNNNNNNNNNNNNNNNNNNNNNNNNNNNNNCGCCCGCCCGCCGCGCCUUGGCCCCGCGCUCCUGGCCCGCUCGCCCCGCGGCGCCCGCUGCGCCUUCGCCUCCUCCUCUUUCGCCGCCUCCUCUUCCUCCGGCCUCCUCUGCUCCUUCUCCUCCUCCUCCUCCUCCUCCUCUUCCUCCUUCUUCUCCUCCUCCUCUCCUUCCUCCUCCUCUUUCCCCACCUCCUCCCCCUCUGCCACCGCCUCCUCCUUCACCACCACCACUCCCUCCGGGGCACCCCGGUCCCUGCAGAGUCCCCGGCCCGCGCCGCCUCCGCCGCGGCCCCCUGGAUCCCGAGCCGGUGGGACGCACGGACGGACGGACGGACCCGCAGGUCCCUGCGCCCCGCUCUCGGCCGCCGCUGCCCCCCGCGGCCCCGCGUCGGGGAAGCGGGAUCGCGCCCGGAGCCCCGGAGGCGACCUGUGACCAACAUGAAGCCGGAUCUGUGCAGCAUACCUCUCGGCCCCUGCCCUGAACCCCCCUCCAGGGCUCCCCGCAAAACAACGUGGGCUACAAGAAUAUUUCACACCAAACUCACUUCAUACUUCAUUUAUAUUAUUAAAA
rnacentral:lncRNA from 1 species